rnacentral:rRNA from 1 species
ACCACAACGGGUGGAGCUUGCGGUUUAAUUGGAUUCAACGCCGGAAAUCUUACCGGGACCGACAGCAAUAUGAAGGCCAGGCUGAAGACUUUGCCGGAUUAGCUGAGAGGUGGUGCAUGGCCGUCGUCAGUUCGUACUGUGAAGCAUCCUGUUAAGUCAGGCAACGAGCGAGACCCACGCCCACAGUUGCCAGCGUACUCUCUGGAGUGACGGGUACACUGUGGGACCGCCGCUGCUAAAGCGGAGGAAGGAAUGGGCAACGGUAGGUCAGUAUGCCCCGAAUAUCCCGGGCUACACGCGAGCUACAAUGGUUGGUACAAUGGGUAUCUACCCCGAAAGGGGACGGGAAUCUCCUAAAACCAAUCUUAGUUCGGAUUGAGGGCUGCAACUCGCCCUCAUGAAGCUGGAAUCCGUAGUAAUCGCGUUUCAACAGAACGCGGUGAAUACGUCCCUGCUCCUU